rnacentral:rRNA from 1 species
AAAUUGAAGAGUUUGAUCAUGGCUCAGAUUGAACGCUGGCGGCAGGCCUAACACAUGCAAGUCGAACGGUAACAGAAAGCAGCUUGCUGCUUUGCUGACGAGUGGCGGACGGGUGAGUAAUGUCUGGGAAACUGCCUGAUGGAGGGGGAUAACUACUGGAAACGGUAGCUAAUACCGCAUAACGUCGCAAGACCAAAGAGGGGGACCUUCGGGCCUCUUGCCAUCGGAUGUGCCCAGAUGGGAUUAGCUAGUAGGUGGGGUAAAGGCUCACCUAGGCGACGAUCCCUAGCUGGUCUGAGAGGAUGACCAGCCACACUGGAACUGAGACACGGUCCAGACUCCUACGGGAGGCAGCAGUGGGGAAUAUUGCACAAUGGGCGCAAGCCUGAUGCAGCCAUGCCGCGUGUAUGAAGAAGGCCUUCGGGUUGUAAAGUACUUUCAGCGGGGAGGAAGGG